rnacentral:lncRNA from 1 species
GGAGUCCCUGGGCACUCUUGUGUGACGCCUCUGCACUGCCUUUGAGGAGCACGAUGACUGCCUGGAGGCCAAGCUGUUUGAUGUGUCCGUCAGGUCCGUACUUUCCUGCCUCUUCCCUGCCCUCCCCUCUUACUCUCAAACUCAAGCACCAACUCGACGGCAAGCACCAUGCAGCAGCUCAGUCAAAGCCCGGUACUCUUUCUGAAUUUUAUUUGUACCUACAACACAUACCCGUUAUGUCUGAUGCUAAAUUUUGAACACAGAAAUACAUUGAACGGACAAGUGCUGAACCGGUUCACUGACUAGCCUGAUUGAUUCAAUCCCCAUGUGCUUGUGUCAAUGCCUGCAAGGGAGCAAGCGUACUGGCGGGAUGGUUGGAAGGAGAGUAAUUUGCUACAAAGCUUAUUAUUUAUGGUUAUUUCCUGAAUCUCUGGUAUAAUAUACAAUACAUUAUGUAGAAACCAAAAUGAUGUUCAUAGAGAUCUCAGAAUUAGGUGAAUAUCAUUAUGCUUGUGUUAUCUUUUUCAUUUUAUGAUUUAGCACCAGUCGCCAACUAUGGUUACCGUGUGUGGCUUGAAUCCAAUAGCAUGUGAUUGAACAAAUGAACGAAAUAUAGGUGAAACAUUUAAUUUUUAGAAGAGAUGGGUGAUACGUACUUCCGUUCAAGUGUUCCCUAAAUUUUUUCAUAGUUUGCAUUGGGACACAGUAAUUGCUUAAAGCAUUUAUUUGACUGCAAUGUUGCUUGCCGGCAUCUCCGCCAUUCAUCUUGUCAUUGACAGAAACCCCAUCUUGUCACUGAUAGAACCCCAGGCUCUUCCACCUAUAGCAAACAAAUAAAAGGACUUGAUUUAUGGGCUUGUAAAUUGGUUGUAUCUACAUGGAAGGUUUAUGGAUUGUGAACCUUUUACUCCGUCUUAUCCUUAGGCUGCACAACAUUUACUUUAGCAAAGGUCUCUCUGUUGCUGAGAUUCUUAAAAAUGGAUGGGAGUCGGUGCAAAGUACAUGGACACAUUGGUGCGAUAUUUUAAAAUUGAGAAACAGCCUCCAAGCUACUUGUGAAGGUGUCAAUUUCUGCAUUGAUAAAGAUUCAAUUAUACUUCUGAUGGGAUUUUUUCUGUUAGCUGUCUCUACAAGAGAAUGAACUUGAGAAAUAUUAAUUUCUAGAUAAAUUUCUUUGGAAAGUGAAGCUUCCCCUGAAAAUUAAAGUUUUUCAUUGCUGGUUUUGAAAAAAUAAACAUACUAACUAAAGCCAAUUUAUUCAAAUGAUGUUUUCAGGGAGAUAAAACCUGUCAAUUACGUGGUAGAGAUUAGAUUAUUGGUGCAAAGGAAUCGGUAUUACAACAGAACUUGAAGCUGACGAGGAUGGUUGACGUUUGGUUUUGGUGGAAAGUCAGGUGCAUAUGAACAACCUAUUAUCUUCCAUUUGUUUUUCAUCAUUCAAUGGGGGCAAUUUCCUAGUUCUUUUUUAGUACUGUCUGGAAAGGUUAUUAGUACGGAUAUAAGUUUGUCAAAAUUUAUUAGCACAUAUGAGGUUCUUUGUUUGGACCCCCAUUGGCUCUACAUAAUUUUUUGGAGUGGGAUUCUAGAUAGCUGCUUUUAUAUGAACCUCGUAAAAAAGUAUUAUGCCGUUGAUCCUAACUGACUGUUUAUAUGUCGGACGAUUUCAACUUGCUAUGUCCCAACAUACUUUUUUUAACAAAAACUGUAGAAGUCCUAACAGUCUACACUUCUGCAUUGUAUCUUGAAAUGCAGAUCAUUUCUCUAGCAUUCUGGCAAAUGGUAGUUUGCAGAUUGAUGAGUUGGUUCCAGUUCCUUUAGCAGGUACAUCACAUCUCAAUCAUAAUUCUGCCCCACUACCCAACAAAAAAAAAUACGACGGUGAUGUUCAUUGGUGCUUGGCCUCCAGAAGUGGGUUUGUCGGAUUUUCAUUUUCUUUGUAUAAUAAAUGUAAUACAUAACUCCUGGAGCCUAUGGAUUUUGGGGAGAUAGUGUAUGUACUGUAGGUUCAUUCUGUUUUCUCCUAAUGAAACUUGGGGUGUGUGCACAAUUACAGAAUUACCAAGGAGACAUUUUUCGGACAGAAAGAAAAUCUAAUAUUUGGUUUCCGUCCAUUUUCUACUUGCAUUAGCAUUAUAAAACACAAUGAAU